CCCUGGCCUUGACAUACUAAGAACUUUCCAGAGAUGGAUUGGUGCCUUCGGGAACUUAGAUACAGGUGCUGCAUGGCUGUCGUCAGCUCGUGUCGUGAGAUGUUGGGUUAACGUCCGCAACGAGCGCAACCCUUUUCCUUAUUUGCCAGCGGGUAAUGCCGGGAACUUUAAGGAUACUGCCAGUGACAAACUGGAGGAAGGCGGGGACGACGUCAAGUCAUCAUGGCCCUUACGGCCAGGGCUACACACGUGCUACAAUGGUCGGUACAAAGGGUUGCUACCUCGCGAGAGGAUGCUAAUCUCAAAAAGCCGAUCGUAGUCCGGAUCGCAGUCUGCAACUCGACUGCGUGAAGUCGGAAUCGCUAGUAAUCGCGGAUCAGAAUGCCGCGGUGAAUACGUUCCCGGGCCUUGUACACACCGCCCGUCACACCAUGGGAGUUUGUUGCACCAGAAGUAGGUAGUCUAACCGCAAGGAGGACGCUUACCACGGUGUGGCCGAUGACUGGGGUGAAGUCGUAACAAGGUAAGCGUAGAUGA
rnacentral:rRNA from 1 species